CAUCUGUCUGGACUGUUAUGCUGGUGGCCACAUGUUCUAAUGACAAACCUGAGCAAUCCAUCUGAUGAAGUCACUGUGGGUUCUGCUCUCUGCUAAAUUAUGCAAGCCAAGUUCAAAUGUGUGACUCAUAUUGAGGAAAUGCACUGUGGUAGAGGAGUAUCUAGGGAAUAGGCUGGGCUGGAGGUUUCUCGGAAAAAAAAAAUGAAUGCAUGAAGAAUAGCCAGGGGAGACUGCUAUUAAUUUUCCCUGGGGUGUGGAGAACGGACGGAAGGAGGAGGGAUUCAGGAAGAGGAAGAAAGAGGAGGAUUACUAAAGAGAGCGUGACUCUUUUUCCAGACAGUAGGUCCAACCAUGCGAACGACAGCGUCACUUGGCAAAGAACAUCCCUUCAGUCCUCGGAGACGAUGACACUGCAGGAACACCUCACCUCCUCACAGUUCCGGAAGCCUUAUAAGAAACCUGGCUGGACUCUAAGUUCACUAUACCUUUAAAAGCUUCCAGUGACUGCCUGCCCUAUUCAGGUAUAUUGAAAUCCUGAUACCCAGUAACUUGGAAGCAGAAGAAAGGCUCUGGGGAACAGAAAAAGAAAAGGAAAAUGAAAAAGAAAAGGAAAAGACCAUAUCCUGAAGACAGCGAUUUGUUUAGAAGUGUAAAUACAGACAGCAAACCAGUGGCUGACAGACGCUGAGAUUUUAAUGGCUGUCAUGAACAUAAAUGAUGUGAGUCAGAGGCAAGCUCAAGAUUUGCUAAGCCCAUAUCAGGCUCAUGUGGAGCAAUCUUCAAGUCUCCGGGGUCACAAGGAUGCGAGUGGACAUAUGGAGAUGGGCAAGUGAAUAUGGUGCAUUAUGUGAGCCUCCCAAAUAAUCCACAAAAAUAUUAUAUUGGCAAAAAAGGAGAGAGAGAAAAGAAGAAAACUGUGGUCAAAGACAACAGAAAUUAAACUCAUGUCAAUUUAUCUCUGUAAGUGUCUGUGAAGAGAUAGGCACUAAUCAGAAAUUUUGACUUUGGGUCCAUGGAAGUACACAAGAGCUGGUGAAUCAUGGAGGCCUUUGAGGGGUUUGAAAGGAGGUUCUUGGGAAAUAACGUUGCUGGGUAGUGAUUGGAAGAGGAGACUCUGUACUUGAAUUUGACUUGAAGUGAAUUAGGGUGACGAUCUUUAACAGGUGGCCCUUAUAUUUGGGAAUGGAAUGAGACUUAGAACUGAUCGUGAGAAAUAAAAAGGAUUAUAGAUGUCAAAACAGGUUAUGCAUCCAUUAUAUUAUUC
rnacentral:lncRNA from 1 species